rnacentral:rRNA from 1 species
GGAAUUGACGGGCCCGCACAAGCAGCGGAGCGUGUGGUUUAAUUCGAUGCUACACGAAGAACCUUACCAGGGUUUGACAUGCAAGUGGUAGGAAGCCGAAAGGUGACCGACCCUUCGGGGAGCUUGCACAGGUGCUGCAUGGCUGUCGUCAGCUCGUGUCGUGAGAUGUUCGGUUAAGUCCGCUAACGAGCGCAACCCUCGCUGUGUGUUAUAUGUGUCACACGGGACUGCCGGUCUUAAGCCGGAGGAAGGUGGGGAUGAUGUCAAGUCAGCAUGGCCUUUAUAUCCUGGGCUACACACACGCUACAAUGGCCAACACAAUAGGUUGCUAAGCCGCGAGGUGGCGCCAAUCCAUAAAGUUGGUCUCAGUUCAGAUUGUAGGCUGCAACCCGCCUGCAUGAAGAUGGAGUUGCUAGUAACCGCAGGUCAGCUAUACUGCGGUGAAUACGUUCCCGGGGCUU